UGGGGAAUUUUUCGCAAUGGGCGCAAGCCUGACGAAGCAACGCCGCGUGGAGGAUGAAGGUCUUCGGAUUGUAAACUCCUGUCGACCGGGACGAAUGCACUCGACCUAAUACGUCGAGUUGUUGACGGUACCGGUGGAGGAAGCCACGGCUAACUCUGUGCCAGCAGCCGCGGUAAUACAGAGGUGGCAAGCGUUGUUCGGAAUUACUGGGCGUAAAGGGCGCGUAGGCGGCCUUGUAAGUCUCGUGUGAAAGCCCUCGGCUUAACUGAGGAUCUGCACGGGAUACUGCGAGGCUAGAGUUCGGGAGAGGGAAGCGGAAUUCCGGGUGUAGCGGUGAAAUGCGUAGAUAUCCGGAGGAACACCAGGGGCGAAGGCGGCUUUCUGGACCGACACUGACGCUGAGGCGCGAAAGCUAGGGGAGCAAACGGGAUUAGAUACCCUUGUAGUCCCUGAGCGGGCUGGCAAGGCGCAU
rnacentral:rRNA from 1 species